rnacentral:rRNA from 1 species
CUCGUAGGCGGUCUGUCGCGUCGGAAGUGAAAACCCGGAGCUCAACUCCGGGCCUGCUUUCGAUACGGGCAGACUUGAGUACUGCAGGGGAGACUGGAAUUCCUGGUGUAGCGGUGGAAUGCGCAGAUAUCAGGAGGAACACCGGUGGCGAAGGCGGGUCUCUGGGCAGAAACUGACGCUGAGGAGCGAAAGCGUGGGGAGCGAACA